rfam:Alteromonas macleodii str. &apos;Black Sea 11&apos;, complete genome.
AAAAAGGCCCCUUUCGGGGCCUUAAAAAUGUAAUUUUAACAAAAUAU